UGUCCAGUAGCACCUUAGAGAGCAACGAAGUUUGUUCUGGGUAUAAGCUUUCGUGUGCAUGAAGAAGUGUGUAUGCACACGAAAGCUUAUACCCAGAACAAACUUCGUUGCUCUCUAAGGUGCUACUGGACA
rnacentral:miRNA from 1 species